rnacentral:rRNA from 1 species
CAGGAUGAACGCUAGCUACAGGCUUAACACAUGCAAGUCGAGGGGCAGCAUGGUCUUAGCUUGCUAAGGCCGAUGGCGACCGGCGCACGGGUGAGUAACACGUAUCCAACCUGCCGUCUACUCUUGGACAGCCUUCUGAAAGGAAGAUUAAUACAAGAUGGCAUCAUGAGUCCGCAUGUUCACAUGAUUAAAGGUAUUCCGGUAGACGAUGGGGAUGCGUUCCAUUAGAUAGUAGGCGGGGUAACGGCCCACCUAGUCUUCGAUGGAUAGGGGUUCUGAGAGGAAGGUCCCCCACAUUGGAACUGAGACACGGUCCAAACUCCUACGGGAGGCAGCAGUGAGGAAUAUUGGUCAAUGGGCGAGAGCCUGAACCAGCCAAGUAGCGUGAAGGAUGACUGCCCUAUGGGUUGUAAACUUCUUUUAUAAAGGAAUAAAGUCGGGUAUGGAUACCCGUUUGCAUGUACUUUAUGAAUAAGGAUCGGCUAACUCCGUGCCAGCAGCCGCGGUAAUACGGAGGAUCCGAGCGUUAUCCGGAUUUAUUGGGUUUAAAGGGAGCGUAGAUGGAUGUUUAAGUCAGUUGUGAAAGUUUGCGGCUCAACCGUAAAAUUGCAGUUGAUACUGGAUAUCUUGAGUGCAGUUGAGGCAGGCGGAAUUCGUGGUGUAGCGGUGAAAUGCUUAGAUAUCACGAAGAACUCCGAUUGCGAAGGCAGCCUGCUAAGCUGCAACUGACAUUGAGGCUCGAAAGUGUGGGUAUCAAACAGGAUUAGAUACCCUGGUAGUCCACACGGUAAACGAUGAAUACUCGCUGUUUGCGAUAUACGGCAAGCGGCCAAGCGAAAGCGUUAAGUAUUCCACCUGGGGAGUACGCCGGCAACGGUGAAACUCAAAGGAAUUGACGGGGGCCCGCACAAGCGGAGGAACAUGUGGUUUAAUUCGAUGAUACGCGAGGAACCUUACCCGGGCUUAAAUUGCAGAUGAAUUACGGUGAAAGCCGUAAGCCGCAAGGCAUCUGUGAAGGUGCUGCAUGGUUGUCGUCAGCUCGUGCCGUGAGGUGUCGGCUUAAGUGCCAUAACGAGCGCAACCCUUGUUGUCAGUUACUAACAGGUUCCGCUGAGGACUCUGACAAGACUGCCAUCGUAAGAUGUGAGGAAGGUGGGGAUGACGUCAAAUCAGCACGGCCCUUACGUCCGGGGCUACACACGUGUUACAAUGGGGGGUACAGAGGGCCGCUACCACGCGAGUGGAUGCCAAUCCCCAAAACCUCUCUCAGUUCGGACUGGAGUCUGCAACCCGACUCCACGAAGCUGGAUUCGCUAGUAAUCGCGCAUCAGCCACGGCGCGGUGAAUACGUUCCCGGGCCUUGUACACACCGCCCGUCAAGCCAUGGGAGCCGGGGGUACCUGAAGUGCGUAACCGCGAGGAGCGCCCUAGGGUAAAAC